rnacentral:rRNA from 1 species
GGAGGAUCCAAGCGUUAUCCGGAUUUAUUGGGUUUAAAGGGUGCGUAGGCGGCUCUUUAAGUCAGGGGUGAAAGACGGUGGCUUAACCAUCGCAGUGCCUUUGAUACUGAAGAGCUUGAAUAGACCUGAGGUAGGCGGAAUGUGACAAGUAGCGGUGAAAUGCACAGAUAUGUCACAGAACACCAAUUGCGAAGGCAGCUUACUAAAGUCUUAUUGACGCUGAGGCACGAAAGCGUGGGGAUCAAACAGGAUUAGAUACCCUGGUAGUCCACGCCCUAAACGAUGAACACUCGAUGUUUGCGAUACACAGUAAGCGUCUAAGCGAAAGCGUUAAGUGUUCCACCUGGGGAGUACGCCCGCAAGGGUG